CCUACGGGUGGCAGCAGUGGGGGAUAUUGGACAAUGGGGGGAACCCUGAUCCAGCGACGCCGCGUGAGUGAAGAAGUAUUUCGGUAUGUAAAGCUCUGUCAGCAGGGAAGAAAGCAAUGACGGUACCUGACAAAGAAGCCCCGGUUAACUACGUGCAAGCAGCCGCGGUAAUACGUAGGGGGCAAGCGUGAUCCGGAAUUACUGGGUGUAAAGGGAGCGUAGACGGCUGUGCAAGUCUGGAGUGAAAGGCGGGGGCCCAACCCCCGGACUGCUCUGGAAACUGUAUGGCUGGAGUGCAGGAGAGGUAAGCGGAAUUCCUAGUGUAGCGGUGAAAUGCGUAGAUAUUAGGAGGAACACCAGUGGCGAAGGCGGCUUACUGGACUGUAACUGACGUUGAGGCUCGAAAGCGUGGGGAGCAAACAGGAUUAGAUACCCGUGUAGUC
rnacentral:rRNA from 1 species